rnacentral:rRNA from 1 species
GACGAACGCUGGCGGCGUGCUUAACACAUGCAAGUCGAACGGAAAGGCCCUGCUUGCAGGGUACUCGAGUGGCGAACGGGUGAGUAACACGUGGGUGAUCUGCCCUGCACUUCGGGAUAAGCCUGGGAAACUGGGUCUAAUACCGGAUAGGAGCCAUUUUUAGUGUGAUGGUUGGAAAGUUUUUUCGGUGUAGGAUGAGCUCGCGGCCUAUCAGCUUGUUGGUGGGGUAAUGGCCUACCAAGGCGGCGACGGGUAGCCGGCCUGAGAGGGUGGACGGCCACAUUGGGACUGAGAUACGGCCCCGACUCCUACGGGAGGCAGCAGUGGGGAAUCUUGCACAAUGGGCGCAAGCCUGAUGCAGCGACGCCGCGUGGGGGAUGACGGCCUUCGGGUUGUAAACUCCUUUCGCUAGGGACGAAGCUUUUUGUGACGGUACCUAGAUAAGAAGCACCGGCUAACUACGUG